rnacentral:rRNA from 1 species
GAAGAAAGCUGGCGGCUUUCUUCCCACAUUCACUUCGAACUUAAAUGCCUUUUCGGAUUUACUCGAUUGGCGAACGGGUGAGUAACACGUGGGUGAUCUGCCCUGCACUCUGGGAUAAGCCUGGGAAACUUGGUCUAAUACCGGAUAGGACCGCACUUUAGUGUUUGUGGUGGAAAGUUUUUUCGGUGUAGGAUUAUCCCGCGGCCUAUCAGCUUGUUGGUGUUGUAAUGGCCUACCAAGGCGGCGACUGUGAUCCGGACUGAGAGGUUGGUCGGCCACAUUGGGACUGAGAUACGGCCCAGACUCCUACGGGAGGAAGCAGUGGGGAAUAUUGCACAAUGGGCGAAAGACUGAUGAAGAGACGCCGCGUGGGGGAUGAAGGAGGGAGGGGUGUAAACUCCUUUCGCCAGGGAAGAAGCGUUUUGUGAAGGUAAAUGGAGAAGAAGCAAAGGAGAAAGACGGG